AUAUCCAUUUGGCUAAGCUGUUGAAAAGCAGUGGCGCAAAGCUAUAGGGGCUUCUCUGCACUAGCAGAAUGCCAGCCAGUUGCACUU
rnacentral:ncRNA from 1 species